rnacentral:rRNA from 1 species
GGGAACGUACCCUUCGGUUCGGAAUAACCCAGGGAAACUUGAGCUAAUACCGGAUACGCCCUUUUGGGGAAAGGUUUACUGCCGAAGGAUCGGCCCGCGUCUGAUUAGCUUGUUGGUGGGGUAACGGCCUACCAAGGCGACGAUCAGUAGCUGGUCUGAGAGGAUGAUCAGCCACACUGGGACUGAGACACGGCCCAGACUCCUACGGGAGGCAGCAGUGGGGAAUAUUGGACAAUGGGCGCAAGCCUGAUCCAGCCAUGCCGCGUGAGUGAUGAAGGCCUUAGGGUUGUAAAGCUCUUUUGUCCGGGACGAUAAUGACGGUACCGGAAGAAUAAGCCCCGGCUAACUUCGUGCCAGCAGCCGCGGUAAUACGAAGGGGGCUAGCGUUGCUCGGAAUCACUGGGCGUAAAGGGCGCGUAGGCGGCCGAUUAAGUCGGGGGUGAAAGCCUGUGGCUCAACCACAGAAUUGCCUUCGAUACUGGUUGGCUUGAGACCGGAAGAGGACAGCGGAACUGCGAGU